rnacentral:rRNA from 1 species
GAUUUCUGGCUUGGUGCGCCUGGCCCGCCACGGUUACGUGUGUGAGUGCUGGGUCGCGCCUGCCAUCCUUCUAGAGAACGGUUCUACCCUUCAUUGGGCCGGGGCCGCAAUCUAGAUCUUUUACUUUGAAAAAAUUAGAGUGUUUAAAGCAGGCUUUUGCUAUGAAUACAUUAGCAUGGAAUAAUAAUUUAGGACUUCGGUUCUAUUUUGUUGGUUUCUAGGACUGAAGUAAUGAUUGAUAGGGAUAGUUGGGGGUGCUAGUAUUCAGUGGCCAGAGGUGAAAUUCUCGGAUUCACUGAAGACUAACUUCUGCGAAAGCAUU